UAAAGGCUUGGUCCUGACCUUUUUAUUGGUUGGUAGUAAAUUUACACAUGCAAGUAUCCGCAAGCCAGUGAAAAUGCCCUCCAAACUUCGCACACAUACAUUAGUUAAAAGGAGCAGGUAUCAAGCACACUAGUACACGUAGCUUAAGACACCUUGCUUUGCCACACCCCCACGGGUAUUACAGCAGUGAUAAAAAUUUAGCAAUGAACGAAAGUUUGACUAAGUUAUACUACACAAGAGUUGGUAAAUUUCGUGCCAGCCACCGCGGCCAUACGAUUAACCCAAAUCAAUAAACACCGGCGUAAAGCGUGCCAAAGAGACCAUAACAAAAUAAAGUUAAGAUCUGACUAAGAUGUAAAAAUCACAAGUCAACAUAAAAAUAAACCACGAAAGUGACUUUACACACUCUAAUUGCACGAUAGCUAAGACCCAAACUGGGAUUAGAUACCCCACUAUGCUUAGCCCUAAACACAUACAACUAAACAAACAAAGUUGUCCGCCAGAGUACUACUAGCAACAGCUUAAAACUCAAAGGACUUGGCGGUGCUUUACAUCCACCUAGAGGAGCCUGUUCUAUAAUCGAUAAACCCCGUUAAACCUCACCAACUUUUGCCAAUUCAGCCUAUAUACCGCCAUCUUCAGCAAACCCUAAAAAGGAAGAAAAGUAAGCAUAAAUACGAAAACGCAAAUACGUUAGGUCAAGGUGUAGCCAAUAAGUUGGGAAGAAAUGGGCUACAUUUUCUUACACAAGAACACCAUAUUUAACGAAAUCCACUAUGAAAUCUAGAGGACAAAGGAGGAUUUAGCAGUAAAUUAAGAAUAGAGAGCUUAAUUGAAUAAGGCCAUGAAGCACGCACACACCGCCCGUCACCCUCCUCAAAUACUAACAAUACUUAAACCAUACAUAAACCUAACAGUAACAAGUAUAAGAGGAGAUAAGUCGUAACAAGGUAAGCAUACUGGAAAGUGUGCUUGGAUUAAC
rnacentral:ncRNA from 1 species